rnacentral:rRNA from 1 species
GAUGAACGCUGGCGGCGUGCUUAACACAUGCAAGUCGAACGGAAAGGCCCCUGUUUGCAGGUGUACUCGAGUGGCGCACGUGUGAGUAACACGUGGGUGAUCUGCCCUGCACUUCGGGAUACGCCUGAGAAACUGGGUCUAAUACCGGAUAGGACCACAUUAUGGAGGGUGUGGUAGAAAGUUUUUGGUGGAGGGAUAAGCUCGCGGCUUAUCGGCUUGUUGGUGGGGUAUUGGCCUCCCAAGCCGUCGACGGUUAGCCGGCCUGAUGGGGUGUACGGCCAAUUUGGGACUGGGAUACGGCCAAGCCCCCUCCGGGGGGAAGCGGUGGGGAUAUUGGCACAUGGGCCGCAGCCUGAUGCAAGCAACGCGCGUUGGGGGUUGCCGGCCUUGGGUUGUUAACCCCUUUCCCCUAGGGAGGAAGCGCAAGUGACGGUACCUGGAGAAGAAGCACCGGCUAACUACGUG